GAUGAACGCUGGCGGCGUGCCUAAUACAUGCAAGUCGAGCGAAUGGAUUAAGAGCUUGCUCUUAUGAAGUUAGCGGCGGACGGGUGAGUAACACGUGAGUAACCUGCCCUUGACUCUGGGAUAACUGCGGGAAACUGUAGCUAAUACCGGAUACGACCCUCGGAGGCAUCUCCUGGGGGUGGAAAGAAUUUCGGUCAAGGAUGGACUCGCGGCCUAUCAGCUAGUUGGUGAGGUAAGGGCUCACCAAGGCGACGACGGGUAGCCGGCCUGAGAGGGUGACCGGCCACACUGGGACUGAGACACGGCCCAGACUCCUACGGGAGGCAGCAGUGGGGAAUAUUGCACAAUGGGCGCAAGCCUGAUGCAGCGACGCCGCGUGAGGGAUGAAGGUCUUCGGAUUGUAAACCUCUUUCAGUAGGGACGAAGCGAAAGUGACGGUACCUAAAGAAGAAGCACCGGCUAACUACGUGCCAGCAGCCGCCGUAA
rnacentral:rRNA from 1 species